UAGGGAAUCUUCGGCAAUGGACGAUAGUCUGACCGAGCAACGCCGCGUGAGUGAAGAAGGUUUUCGGAUCGUAAAACUCUUUUGUUAGAGAAGAACAAGGACGUUAGUAACUGAACGUCCCCUGACGGUAUCUAACCAGAAAGCCACGGCUAACUACGUGCCAGCAGCCGCGGUAAUACGUAGGUGGCAAGCGUUGUCCGGCUUUAUUGGGCGUUAUGCGAGCGCAGGCGGUUUCUUAAGUCUGAUGUGAAAGCCCCCGGCUCAACCGGGAAGGGUCAUGGGAAACUGGGAGACUUGAGUGCAGAAGAGGAGAGUGGAAUUCCAUGUGUAGCGGUGAAAUGCGAAGAUAUAUGGAGGAAAACCAGUGGCGAAGGCGGCUCUCUGGUCUGUAACUGACGCUGAGGCUCGAAAGCGUGGGGAGCAAACAGG
rnacentral:rRNA from 1 species